rnacentral:sRNA from 1 species
GCCAGGUGCGGUGGUGCACACCUGUAAUCCCAGAUGCUUGAGAGGCUGAGACAGGAGGAUCAUGGGUUCAAGGCCAGCCUCAGCAAAAGUGAAGCACUAAGCAGCUCAGUGAGACCCUGUCUCUA